CAAUAGCGUAUAUUUAAGUUGUUGCAGUUAAAAAGCUCGUAGUUGGAUUUCGGGUGGGACGCAGCGGUCUCGCAUUGCGUUUGUACUGCUGCAGCCCUCCUUCUUGCCGGGGGCGGCCUCUCGGACUUCACUGUCUGGGGGUCAGAAUCGGCGAUGUUACUUUGAGUAAAUUAGAGUGUUCAAAGCAAGCUUACGCUCUGAAUAUAAUAGCAUGGGAUAACACGACAGGACUCUGGCCUAUCGUGUUGGUCUAUAGGACCAGAGUAAUGAUUAAGAGGGACAGUCGGGGGCAUUCGUAUUCCGUUGUCAGAGGUGAAAUUCUUGGAUUUACGGAAGACGAACAUCUGCGAAAGCAUUUGCCAAGGAUGUUUUCAUCGA
rnacentral:rRNA from 1 species